UACGUAGGGGGCAAGCGUUGUCCGGAUUUAUUGGGCGUAAAGAGCGUGUAGGCGGCCACACAGGUCAGCUGUGAAAACUCGAGGCUCAACCUCGAGACGUCGGUUGAAACCGUAUGGCUAGAGUCCGGAAGAGGAGAGUGGAAUUCCCGGUGUAGCGGUGAAAUUCGUAGAUAUUGGGAAGAACACCGGUGGCGAAGGCGGCGACCUGGUCCGAUACUGACGCUGAGGCGCGAAAGCGUGGGGAGCAAACAGG
rnacentral:rRNA from 1 species